GCCCGGCUGGCGCAAUUGGUAGCGCGUAAGACUUCUACAACACAUCUUCUCAAUGAAGUGAUGGAAACAUCUUAAGGUCGUGGGUUCGAGCCCCACGUCGGGUG